AUGACAAAGAAAAGAGGGAACAACGGUUGUACCAAAAAAGGGCUGCAGCCACGUGCAGCCUAUUCUCAGCACAAACUGUAACCAAUGCAUGCCCAAGGACAAGGCCAUUAAGAAAUUUGACAUUCGGAACAUAGUGGAGGCCACAGCAGUCAGGGACAUUUCUGAAGCAAGCAUCUUCGAAGCCUAGUUGCUUCCCGAACUGUAUGUGAAGCUACAUUACUGUGUGAGUUGUGCAAUUCACAGCAAAGUAGUCAGGAACCGAUCCUGUGAAGCCCGCAAGGAUUGAACACCCCUACCCUGAUUUAGACCUGCAGGUGCUGCCCCACGACCCCCACCAAAGCCCAUGUAA
rnacentral:lncRNA from 1 species